rnacentral:misc_RNA from 1 species
GAUGAAGAACGUAGCGAAAUGCGAUAAGUAAUGUGAAUUGCAGAAUUCAGUGAAUCAUCGAAUCUUUGAACGCACAUUGCGCCCAUUAGUAUUCUAGUGGGCAUGCCUGUUCGAGCGUCAUUAAUUCCACUUAAGCCCUGCUUAGUGUUGGGAAUCUACUCUAGUGGUGCUACCCUGGAGCUACCCCUGAAAGGGGGCUGGCCCGGUAGCUACCCUGUAGUUCCUCAAAGAUAGUGCGCGGAGUUGCGUGUCCUCUGAGCUUAGUAACUAUACACCUAGCUUUUGAGUGUCCCGCGGCGCCUGCCGUUUAAACCCCAUCUUUUAAUGGUUGACCUCGGAUCAGGUAGGAAUACCCGCUGAACUUAAGCAUAUCAAUAAGCGGAGGA